GAGGGUAUAGCUCAGUGGUAGAGCGCGUGCUUAGCACACAUGUGGUCCUGGGUUCAAUCCCCAGCGCCUCCA
rnacentral:tRNA from 1 species